rnacentral:rRNA from 1 species
GACGAACGCUGGCGGCGUGCUUAACACAUGCAAGUCGAACGGAAAGGCCCCUUUGGGGGUCCUCGAGUGGCGAACGGGUGAGUAACACGUGAGUAACCUGCCCUUGACUUCGGGAUAACUUCAGGAAACUGGGGCUAAUACCGGAUAGGAAUCCUUGCUGCAUGGUGGGGGUUGGAAAGCUUCGGCGGUUUUGGAUGGACUCGCGGCUUAUCAGCUUGUUGGUGGGGUAGUGGCUUACCAAGGCUUUGACGGGUAGCCGGCCUGAGAGGGCGACCGGCCACAUUGGGACUGAGAUACGGCCCAGACUCCGACGGGAGGCAGCAGGGGGGAAUAUUGCACAAGGGGCGGAAGCCGGAUGCAGCAACGCCGCGUGCGGGAGGACGGCCUUAGGGUUGAAAACCGAUUUCAGCAGGGGCGAAGCUUGUGGUGACGGUACCUGCAGAAGAAGCACCGGCUAACUACGUG